AGUGGCGGACGGGUGAGUAACGCGUGGGCAACCUGCCCCAUACAGGGGGAUAACAGCCGGAAACGGCUGCUAAUACCGCAUAAGCGCACGGGACCGCAUGGUUCUGUGUGAAAAACAAUAGUGGUAUGGGAGGGGCCCGCGUCUGAUUAGCCAGUUGGCGGGGUAGAGGCCCACCAAAGCGACGAUCAGUAGCCGGCCUGAGAGGGCGGACGGCCACAUUGGGACUGAGACACGGCCCAAACUCCUACGGGAGGCAGCAG
rnacentral:rRNA from 1 species